rnacentral:rRNA from 1 species
GGCUCAGAUUGAACGCUGGCGGCGUGCUUUACACAUGCAAGUCGAGCGGCAGCAUGACCUUCGGGUCGAUGGCGAGCGGCGAACGGGUGAGUAAUACAUCGGAACGUACCUUUUAGUGGGGGAUAACGCAUCGAAAGAUGUGCUAAUACCGCAUAAUCUCUGAGCAGGAAAGCAGGGGGAUCGCAAGACCUUGCGCUUUGGGAGCGGCCGAUGUCGGAUUAGCUAGUUGGUGGGGUAAAGGCCUACCAAGGCGACGAUCCGUAGCGGGUCUGAGAGGAUGAUCCGCCACACUGGGACUGAGACACGGCCCAGACUCCUACGGGAGGCAGCAGUGGGGAAUUUUGGACAAUGGGCGGAAGCCUGAUCCAGCCAUGCCGCGUGAGUGAAGAAGGCCUUCGGGUUGUAAAGCUCUUUCGGCGGGGAAGAAAUUGCUUGGGUUAAUACCCUGAGUAGAUGACGGUACCCGAAUAAGAAGCACCGGCUAACUACGUG